rnacentral:tRNA from 1 species
AGGAUAAUAGUUAAAUAUAACAUUUAAUUUGCAUUUAAAAAAUACUGAAACUUUCAGUUUAUCUUA